AACGUAGGAGACAAACGUUAUCCGGAGUUACUGGGCGUAAAGGGCGUGUAGGUGGUUUUGUAAGUCUGGCGUGAAAUUUUUCGGCUUAACCGAGGCAGGUCGUCGGAUACUGCGGAACUUGAGGACGGUAGAGGCGUGUGGAAUUCCGGGUGAGUGGUGAAAUGCGUAGAGAUCCGGAGGAACACCAGUGGCGAAGGCGACACGCUGGGCCGUACCUGACGCUGAGGAGCGAAAGCAUGGGGAGCGAACAGG
rnacentral:rRNA from 1 species